GGGGUGAGGUGAGGUGGAUUCAAGAAACCUCGCCCCCUAAUCGAUUGCAAUCGCCACGCCGGGAGGACGAAUCGAGCCCGCGCGACCUCUGCGUUCAGCGGCAGCGUCCCGGUCAACCGGCAACUCCGGAUUCCUCCCUGCACGACUUCUUGCAAAAAAGCCUGCUCGACGCAAGUUGUUAAAAAGGGCUUCCAAUGGAAAGACGAUGGCGUUUGUGGUGGCAUGUUGGUGUCUGGAAACAACUGCGCCACCUCAAUGAGCAAGCCAUUGCAUGUAUGCUGAACUUCUUUUGCACCGUACGUAGCCAACCAUGAUAAUUGGAGGUGUGGGGAAAGCAGUUAAUGCUUGAAGGCCUGGUACGUUCCCAACAAACUGGGCAGCCCGGUCUAUUUGGGAGAGUCUUUGUAACUUGAUUCACGAAACACAAAGCAGAGACAAGAGUCUUUAUCAGUAAGCUUGAAUACGUCAACUGCCCCUCAGUGUUCUGACCUUGUCGCUUAAUUUCCUUGGGCGCAUACACCUUGCAAGCACAUUGGCACAAAAAAAUAUGAACUCUUCGUCAUAAACUAAAACUAUUUCAUUCACCAGGUAAAGACCACUGAGCUGUUUUUGUUUAGAGGAAACCUGGCCCCACAUGAUAGCUCUUCGAAGCGGCUUAUACCAUCAUAUGUGGGAAUUUAUAGUAGCAGACGAAUAAUCAUGGCAAACUGCAUGUAAUAUAUUCGCUAAAUUAGAUUUUUUUUUUGCCUGGGAAAUGCAGGCUACAUGCUGAAUAAUGAACAUGAUACAAAUUACUAUGCAAUGUUUUUCUUCAAACACAUAAAAAAAACUAUAAUUCCUUUCCGCUGAUACUUUCUUAUCAGGCUGGAGAGGUCAGUCCCAAUGGAACAAAAAAAAGUGAUUUAGCUUAAUCUUUACGGCCUGUCCACUAUGAAUUGAUUUACAUUGUGUCUCCACUGAGCAUUAAUAAUUAAGCAGCGACCGGUGAAUUUAAAUACAGUACGUGUAUUCUAUGAAAUAUUUAAAAUUACGGCAUAGUAUAUGUAGCAGAUAAGCUGUCCUGUCAGAAAGAUGGUAGAAAAGAAACGUGAUCGCUAUGUAACAAAAAUAAAAAAAAUACUUUUAAAUAACGUAUCACCAUACAAUGGACAAUACACGGUAAAGGUGCAGCCCUGUAGUUGCUUUGCCCACUCCACUGUUGGCACAAAAGUUUGCACUGCAAGGAGCUCUAUAAUGCCCCCCAUCCCCCCCCUCCAAAGAGGCUAUUUGGCCUCAUUUUCUACGCCGGCCAGAUUUUUCGUGAGGAAAGAAGUGAAAGUAUCCACAAUUUCCCCCACCACGCAAGACCUGCAAUAGACUGUGGUGUACUCAUAAUGCCCGGGUCGACAGAGGCGGGAGGGCGGAGGGUGGAUUUAAGAGAUUUUCCAGUUGGUUCAACUGCCGGGAUUUUGAACCGGUGACCUCUGGUGCAAACCAUGAAGCCACGGAAGCAUCACGACAUAAGACAGCAAAUAAAUUAAAAUACAAAAGCCUUUAACCCCAUUUGCCUAAUCAGUAUGCUCAUUCGCGUGUACAUCCUUCCCCCGAUUAAUCUGUAAAAACGAUCUCUGUUCGACAUGGACGAAGAGGCUGAAAAGCAAACGACCGUUUUAAGUUAAAUGCAAACGAAGAAGCGACCGUCGAUGCGGUAGGCAGGGACACGUUAUGAACGGUACGUCUCAGAUGCAAGCCACGUCUCGCCGCUCGCCCCAGAUGAUUAUUAUCAGAGGCUGCGGCUCUAAAAUGCAUCGCCUGUCCUCUAAUGAGCAGACAUCCUUUCCAAUUCCUCCGUAGAUCACUUGGACCCCGCUCCAAAGAGUUAAGGAGAGAGGAAAAAGAGGCGGUUAAGUCUUUGUGGGUGGGCAAGCAUCACCAGAUUUCAUUAUACCACUACUUCCUGGCAAAUGGAGUGAGUAAAAUAACCAAAGAAGCCGCCUUCUGAGUGGUGCAAGAUUACGCAUGCUGAGUGACAAAAAAAAAAUAAACGGCAUUCUUCAGCUAUGGGGAGCAACAGAAAAACACGCAAUGGGUUUAAAAGUGGCGUUUGCCAUUACGUACGUAUGGAAGCGUGCAAGAGGAUUUAUCAAUCAAUAAAACGUUUAAUUCGAAGUCAGGUGGGAAUCCAUUAGGAUGAAAACACAUUUUUAAGGACACCUGGGCAAUUGGAAAAAUCGGCGAUCGUUGCGCGCGUGUAUUUAUGUGCACGCUUGCAAAAACGUUAAAAUGUAAUAAGGUAUGUCCUAGCGUAACGUGUCCAAGUGUCACCCAAUGGAGCAUAUAAACGAAUGUUCUACAAAUGGUUCACGUAUCCGAUCUGUUCACAUGUCCCUCAAAACCUCAGCCACCAACAAGCUGGAUACACAACAGAAUAAUUGCAACUUUUAAGCAUUUAGCGCAAUGGCAUUUCACUAUUAUUACUCUGAUGUCGCCGUGACCCUGACCAGGGAUAAGCGGAUUGAUAAACGAAGUACUCUUAUGUGUACAUGGCUUUCGACCAUUACCCGUUAAAACCAAAAAUAUAACAUUCUAUCUAUCUUCAACAAAAUUACAUCGUCUGUUCUUUGGAUACUGUUUAUUAUAAAGCAAUAAUGAAGAGGACAACUGCUCUGCAGAACAGUUGAGUGGUAAUGUACAUGAUUAAUGUCAAUAUUUAGGAAGUAAUACUUAGGUUUGAUCGUUCAUGUAGAUAGAGUCUAAUAAUAUUUAAAUUGAUCAUUGUUAUGGCAACAACAAUGCAGCUUAUGACAUUGUUUUGGUUGUGAAUGCUUUUACAAAAGCUAGACACGCAACCCCGCACUGUACAAUACAGUGCCAAAUAAAGAUGUCAUUGAAAUCAUGUAACAAAAAAUAUUGGAGGUAUUACAAAGCAUUGAUUAGUCUCUUAAACAAGCAUGUUUUUUUACAUAA